rnacentral:rRNA from 1 species
UACGUAGGGGGCAAGCGUUGUCCGGAAUCACUGGGCGUAAAGCGCACGUAGGCGGAUCUUUUAAGUCGGGGGUGAAAUCCUGGAGCUCAACUCCAGAACUGCCUUCGAUACUGAGGGUCUUGAGUCCGGGAGAGGUGAGUGGAACUGCGAGUGUAGAGGUGAAAUUCGUAGAUAUUCGCAAGAACACCAGUGGCGAAGGCGGCUCACUGGCCCGGUACUGACGCUGAGGUGCGAAAGCGUGGGGAGCAAACAGG